rnacentral:rRNA from 1 species
CUACGGGCUGCUGCAGUGAGGAAUAUUGCGCAAUGGGGGAAACCCUGACCGAGCAAUGCCGCGUGAACGAAGAAGUAUUUCGAUAUGUAAAGUUCUGUUGUUAAGGAAGAAAGGUAGUAAUAGGAAAUGAUUAUUAUUUGACGGUACUUAACCAGAAAGCCCCGGCUAACUACGUGCCAGCAGCCGCGGUAAUACGUAGGGGGCGAGCGUUAUCCGGAAUUAUUGGGCGUAAAGGGUGCGUAGGCGGCCAUAUAAGUCUAAGUUGAAAGCCCACGGCUUAACCGUGGAGGGUGCUUAGAAACUGUAUGGCUUGAAUCCAGAAGAGGCAAGUGGAAUUCUAUGUGGAGCGGUGGAAUGCGUAGAUAUAUGGAGGAACACCAGUGGCGAAGGCGGCUUGCUGGGCUGGUAUUGACGCUGAUGCGCGAAAGCGUGGGGAGCAAACAGGAUUAGAUACCCUCGUAGUC